UUUAUAAGAAGAGCAUACAACACUUUUUAGAUUUUAUUAAAUGAAAUCCCAACUCAAAUGCAAAAAAUUAAACCCAAUUAGUUAAUAAUACAGAAAAAAAAUUUCUUUUUUUUUUCAUGGAAGUGAUUUGCAAACUUUAUCUCUCAUCAAAAAAAAAAUUGAAAAAUAAAAAAUAAAAUGAGGAGGAAAAAGAAGAAGAAGAACGGCCGGG
rnacentral:lncRNA from 1 species